CUGAUAGCCCUGGAAACUGAAACUGUAUACCUACAAAACAGGUACAGCAUGGGGUGUGGAAGUGUAAUCUUAUCCCACACUGUAGAGUCUGCCUCAGGCUGGAGCCAGAGUGACAGUUCAGUCUCUGGCUCCCACCACACUUGAAACCA
ensembl:misc_RNA